rnacentral:rRNA from 1 species
CUGCCCAAUGAAAUAUUUUUAAUGGCUGCGGUAUUUUGACCGUACAAAGGUAGCAUAAUAAUUAGUUUUUUAAUUGAGAACUGGAAUGAAAGGUCGAACGAGAAAGAUACUGUCUCAAUUUAAUUUAAAUUUGAAUUUUAUUUUUAAGUAAAAAAGCUUAAAUAAUCUUAAAAGACGAGAAGACCCUAUAGAGUUUAAUAUUAUUUAUUAUUUUUAAAAUUAAAGUAUUUUUUUUAUAAUAAUAAUUAGUAUUUAAUUGGGGUGAUUAAAAAAUUUAAAUAACUUUUUUUAAAUUUUUACAUUGAUUUAUGAAUGAAUGAUCCAUUUUUUAUGAUUAUAAGUUUAAAUUACCUUAGGGAUAACAGCGUUAUUUUUUUUUAGAGUUCUUAUCGAAAAAAAAGUUUGCGACC